GCCCGGCGGUACCUGGGCGCCGGUACCUCGGCGCCCGAGAGCUGAGGCUGGCGGUCUGUCUGAGCGGCGGGAUCCGGAAGGGAGAAAACUACGGAAUUGCAACUUGAAAAGGUAGUGUGUGGAAGAGGAGGUCCCAGGCGGCGUGGACCCCCGAGAAGACUGGGACCAGGCAGCUGCCGCGGCGUGGGCUACUGGGGCUCCUCCGGCCUCCCAGUCGGUCGCACGCCGGUGCCCCCGCCCAUCGCGCCAGCUGCAGACCAGUCCUAGGAGCUGACUUUUGAAGUUGAGAGCUUCCUGCAGUCUCGGGGCACCAGGGAGCAUGCUGUGUCCUGGGGCUGGCCACAGGCGAAGGUUCCCCCCAAGCACUGGAUAUCAGCCACUCACCUGCAGUGACAGACCAACAUGAAAGACAACUGACGGUGCUGUUAAAACAUUGAAAUCCAGAGACAGGAGAGAUUCCCAACCCCAUUCUGGAGGUGGCGUGAAGGAUCUGUGCCAGGCCUCCAACACAGAGCAGGCUCUGCCAUUAAGCUGAGACAACCUCGAGAUAAGACAGCCCUAACUGCUCACGAGGAGGAAAGAGCUGGAUUGUACUGAAGACUCGUUCCUGAUGAGUCACCAGGA